rnacentral:lncRNA from 1 species
GUGGCUCCCGAGGAGGAAAACAGUUCCGCGGGCCCGCUGUGGGAAUAGCCGUGAAUCCCUCAAUGGAAGGGGCCUCAGUGGUGCCAGGCAGCUGCUCCACAAGAGAAUUGGGCCAUUUUCUCCAGGGGGCCCAACUCUCUCUAGUGUUUUUGUCAUGACAGCCUAGGUGGUAGAAGCUGAGGCCAAGGCCGCCUCUAAGGAAUGCUGCCUCCUACAGGGGUCUGACUUCAGGCUUUCCUUGUAUUGAGGCGGGAGCCCUGGAGGGUGCUCAGAGGAUCUCCUCCUCCCUGCAGGGCCCUCUAACGAGGAGAAGAGAAUCAGGUGAGUCAAAAUGAAGCAAAGCCUUGUGCGGCGCUUGAAGCCCACAGCCCACCUGGGCCCUAAGCAAGUGCAGGUGACUCAGAUCUGGUUCCUCUUCUGGCCCUUGGAGCUCUUUGCUACCCUUGCACUCCUCUGCGUGCUCGACUGCCCAGGCCUGGCUGCCACUGCAAUGCCCGGCGCCCCAGACCUUGCCUGGCAAAUGUGCCGCUGCUGGAUACCAUUCCUAGUCUCAUUCCCAGGGAAUCCAGAGGCAAGUCUGGGCUGAUACGCCCUAUGAGAUACAAUGGGCAAGGGAUGGAAAGCAGGAGGAAACGCCAUUUCCUAAUCUAGUUGGCCUUGGAUGGAAACGUGUUUUGGCCGGAUGGAAGCCUUCAGUGAGUCGAUGAUGCGUAUUUAGGACCUACAAUCAAUCCUCUCCAGGAUCUUUUACAGGACCCGGCUGUAGCGAAAAACUCACCAAUGCUUCUGGCUUUGCCUUUGCUUUAGUUGAGAGCUUUUGGUUGCAAGGAAUCAACUUGAGCUGGCUUAAUUAUUAAGGGAAAUAUGUGGUGAGGCAGUAUCUCAUGAAGCCCAAGGACAGAUGGCUACGAGGAAGCCAGGAAGCAGGCCUUCUCCAGCCUUCGCCUCUGCUCCACGUCUCUCUGCAAUCAACUCUCCUUCCUUCUUCUCUCUGGGCAGCUGAGUGGAAGAGGAUCCCUCACAACUGCCGGGUUUACACCCUCCCUACUGAAGAGAGUCCAGGUACCGUGCUGACUCUGAAGACAGCGACGGGCGAGACUAACUGGCUGCAUCCUCCUGGAGACUGUGAUUUCGUUUGCAAAGGAGGAACAAGGAUGACUUGAAAAUAAUCCCGGGUCAACGUCAAACCAGAUGGAAACUGCUUUUGUUUAUCCUCACAUAAACUACCAAUUUAAAGAAAAUACUACUUAUUUUCCUAAGUCUGAAGAGUUGAGGUUAAAGAAUUUCCCGGCAGGAGCACACCAUGUGCCAGGUAUUGUAUUCACUGAUGAUUCAAGUUACAGCAGCCCUAGCCUGUCAUUAUCGUGUUUAAAGAACUGGACUUUUGGAGGGAGCGAUCAGUAACUUCACUGAGUGAGCAAGCGAGCAGUUCACCGCAUACCUGAAACAGGACUCAAAGCACCGCCACUGACGCGCAGCCAUUCAGGUGUAUGUCCAAUGCGUUUAGGGAGCCAACACUGUGUCGUACAGUCAGUUACAGCAAAAAAUGAGGAAGCAAGUUCUAGGGGUGGCCGGUGUCUGAUGUAAGAGGAGCCUCAGGCCAGCAGGAAAAGUCCAGCGUUGGUAACAGAGAGGGGCCAAAGAAAAUGUGAACUGUGAGGUGUGAGCAGACCUCCAUUUCUUUGACAAUGUGGUUGCGCUGGAAGGUCAAGGCAACACGUGUGAAUUUCAGUAUGACGUUAGGCAAAAAUCUUUUACACUGGCCUGUAGAGGCGUAGGGUAGAUGUGGGGUAAAUUAGACUGAUUUGCAGCUGGUUGAACAAUCACUGCCUAAAAGUCUUGGUAAUGGAUCCAUUUCAACUUCGAUGGAGGUCUCUAUUGACUCGCCACAGGACUCUAGCUGGAGCCUUACUCAGUACAAUAUUGUUACAACUGAUAUCCUGAAGAAAUCUGUUGAUGACAAAGAUGAGAGCAAUAACUUGUGCACGAAGAUGCUAGAACCGGGGUCUAAAAAUAUUUCUAAAGAGUGAAACAAUGUGCCAAGUCUAAUAAGGUAGAAUUUCAUAUGGAAGUAUUCCACCAUUGGGCCCCUAAAAGCCAUCCCAACAAGUUCAGGGUGGUUGAACCUGGCACGUUUAAAGGAAACCAGGAUGAGGCAAAUACAAAAAUGUCAAAAAUGUAUCUGUAAAGACCUUGUUCUGAGUACGCCACCACUUGGCUUCCAGGACGUUUCCUGAAGCUCCAUGACAUCAGUGGGGAUUAAGCCAGGGGACAGGAGGGUCAGGGUGGGAAGAAACUCGGGGAGAAUAGUUCAAGAGUUCAAUAUGCAAAAGAAAACAACACAAUAACCGGUUACCUAAAAUGGAAUAUGAGAGGCCUCAGAUGAUAUUCAUAGAAACAGUAUGUCCAGAAUAAAGGAGGGGAUGGUCCUGCUCUACUCUGCAAGUUAGGCCUCACCUGGAAGAUUGGAGGCAAUUCUGGGUUACUCCCUUAUACAGAGGUAGUAACCAGCUAAAAUAUAGAGAGAAUACAGCAACUCAGAUGGAAAGGGUCUUGAAGUCAUGUCACAUCCCUGCUCUCAAUCCUGCAGAGUGUAGCCCUGUCAAGGCCACUUGACCCCGGGCUCCCUCUCACACCUCCUUUCCUGCCUCUCUCCCCUUCCUGUCACCGCUCCUGCAUGCUGGCCUCCCCAAUAUUCCACAGACAUCCAGCAUUGCUCACAGAGGGCUGUUGCCCUCUCCUGCAGUCACACGGCUCAUCUCCUCAGAGGGCUGGGGCUUUGGUGCCCUCUUCCAUCCCUUGCUCCCGGUACACCCUAGGGACUCAGUGAGCACUUUUUGAGGGACUCAAUGAAUAAAACGAGGCCGUACUGCAAACCGACACAUCAGACUGACCCAUCAGCAAGCUCCAUCAGACUGGGGAGGAGCUAUGUCCCCGAGGCGCCCUUCCCACCUGACCAGAUGAGGGACGCUCAAGGAAAGGCACCCUGGGUAUUGCAGGCUCCGUGCAAAGAAAUACUUCUAAGGAAAGGAGGGGCCGCUCGCAGCAUCCCAGCCACGAGGGAAAAGGCACAAAGUAUCAGUGUGGAGGGAGUCCAGGAGUCUUCGAGCUGAUACCGGCAGCGCUGACUUACUCCCACAGUCCUGCAGCAGGCUGCGAGCAGAGAUACGGCCUGGCAGUGUGUCAUGGGAAUUUGUGACUGUUUCUCUGGCUGUGUGAUGAGAUUUUUGGCUGCCUAGAAACGUUGGUGGUUGGAACCCCCCGGGCUAGUGUUCUGUUAACCUAGUAAGUAGAAAGGAAAGUCUUUCCUGGAAUUCUGAAUUUUAAAAACCUGUUUCAAAAAAGCA